AGCAGCCGCGGUAAUUCCAGCUCCAAUAGCGUAUAUUAAAGUUGUUGCAGUUAAAAAGCUCGUAGUUGAAUUUCGGGACUAACAGGUUGGUCGCGCCUUUGGUGUGUACUGGCCUAGUUGGUUUCUCCCUUCUGACGAACCACGAUGUCAUUAAUUUGGUGUCGUGGGAAAUCAGGACUGUUACUUUGAAAAAAUUAGAGUGUUUAGAGCAGGCUCGCGCUUGAAUACAUAGCAUGGAAUAAUGAAAUAGGACGUUUGAUUCUAUUUUGUUGGUUUCUAGGAUUCGACGUAAUGAUUAAUAGGGAUAGUUGGGGGCAUUAGUAUUCAAUUGUCAGAGGUGAAAUUCUGGAUUUAUUGAAGACUAACUACUGCGAAAGCAUUUGCCAAGGAUGUUUUCAUUAAU
rnacentral:rRNA from 1 species